rnacentral:rRNA from 1 species
GACGAACGCUGGCGGCGUGCUUAACACAUGCAAGUCGAACGAUGAAGCCGGAGCUUGCUCUGGUGAAUUAGUGGCGAACGGGUGAGUAACACGUGAGUAACCUGCCCUUGACUCUGGGAUAACUGCUAGAAAUGGUAGCUAAUACCGGAUACGACCCUCGGAGGCAUCUUCAGGGGGUGGAAAGAAUUUCGGUCAAGGAUGGACUCGCGGCCUAUCAGCUAGUUGGUGAGGUAAUGGCUCACCAAGGCGACGACGGGUAGCCGGCCUGAGAGGGUGACCGGCCACACUGGGACUGAGACACGGCCCAGACUCCUACGGGAGGCAGCAGUGGGGAAUAUUGCACAAUGGGCGCAAGCCUGAUGCAGCAACGCCGCGUGAGGGAUGACGGCCUUCGGGUUGUAAACCUCUUUUAGUAGGGAAGAAAAGACUCCUGUUAAUACCGGGGGUUCAUGACGGUACCUGAAGAAUAAGCACCGGCUAAC